rnacentral:rRNA from 1 species
UACGGAGGGUGCAAGCGUUAUCCGGAUUUACUGGGUUUAAAGGGUGCGUAGGCGGGCAGGUAAGUCAGUGGUGAAAUCUCCGAGCUUAACUCGGAAACUGCCGUUGAUACUAUUUGUCUUGAAUAUUGUGGAGGUAAGCGGAAUAUGUCAUGUAGCGGUGAAAUGCUUAGAUAUGACAUAGAACACCAAUUGCGAAGGCAGCUUACUACACAACGAUUGACGCUGAGGCACGAAAGCGUGGGGAUCAAACAGG